rnacentral:lncRNA from 1 species
UCUUUUUGGUUCAUUGCUGAUGCACCCUGAUACCUAAAGCUCUAGCAAGAACAUAACUUGGGUUUUCUUUUUUCUUUCCCCUCUUCUUUUUUUCCCCAGGUUACUUUAAUCUAUAAUAUCAGCAAUAAUCACUGUGGUAUUGUUGCCUAGGCAUUCUUGAAGAGUCAGAAGUGGACUGUAAUUGAAGAGUUCAUUACCAAGAUCAGUUGGCUCCUUGAUUACAGUGGCAAGGUGAAAUAUAUAUCCUCACCAAAAAGCAACUGCUAAACCUUUAGAGAAGUCACCCACUUUUCACUCUUUUUCAUUAGGACCCCGACAAGCUUGUCAGCAAAAUUAAAGGCAGCCAAAGGCAUCAGUAGCGAAUCAGACCCAAGAUUUAGGAGGUUGUGAUACUGCACCACUAUUCCCAUGGCAGGCGAGUGCUUCUCC